GUUUAUCCCGCUCCUGAGGCUGGGGAGGUACCCCCAGGCGCAGGCACACAGUAUAGUGGGGUCAAGCAUCUAGCUGACCUAAUUAAAAGCUCAUUACACUAGCCCAUCCCCAUUAACAGGCUGACCCACGUGCAAAUCCAUUAACGCAGGAUUCUUCCCUGCUUCCCAAAUCAGGAAUCCCAGCCGCAGCCCCGGGGCCUGGAAACUCCGGCCAGUUUAUUAAAGUGCCUUCCCCGCCUGUGACCAUCAGGCAAAGGGAGAAUCUUGCUGGGAAUCUCGCUUCUAGCCAAUGAGGAAUUUUCAGAAAAGCGAAAUGGAAUGCAUCAUUUUGACAUCUCUGCAGAUCUGUAUUCCGAAAGGUACUCAGAUAUCCACGAAGUCCUCCUCAUCUCACACCAUCGUUUCUCUCACUGGGCACAAUCCAGCUUUAAAGAAUUCAACACUUACUGGUCUUCAGAGGACUGUCAGCAAUGACAGCAACCAGGGAUGCUGACAUGUCUUGUUGUUUACAAAGGAUGAGCACAAGGCCUUUUGGAUAACCUGAUAAGCCCUGCAACUCCUCUCUCCCUGUUCCUCACCUCUCUGGACCAGCUGCCUUUGUGUGGUGGCAAAACUGAGAUUUUGGGAUCCAUGCAGCUCUAUGGAAUAUAUUAUGGGUGAAUUUUGAACCCAGGUCUAUGUGCUUCCAGGUCAUUUGUAGGAAGAACAUACUGAAUUAUUCAGGAGAAAUAGAAAAUUAUGCCUACAACUUACUCUUAAA
rnacentral:lncRNA from 1 species